rnacentral:rRNA from 1 species
UACGUAGGGGGCAAGCGUUAUCCGGAUUUACUGGGUGUAAAGGGUGCGUAGGCGGUCGGAUAAGUUAGAGGUGAAAUGUCCGAGCUCAACUCGGGAACUGCCUCUAAUACUGUUGAUCUAGAGAGUAGAUGCGGUAGGCGGAAUGUAUGGUGUAGCGGUGAAAUGCUUAGAGAUCAUACAGAACACCGAUUGCGAAGGCAGCUUACCAAUCUAUAUCUGACGUUGAGGCACGAAAGCGUGGGGAGCAAACAGG